AAUAAGAAAAUGACGAAUCGGAUUUUUCCUACUGAUUUUCAAUUUUUUUCUCCUAAACAAAUUCAAAUUCAACUAAAAGUGCUAAAAAUUAAGAAAAAAAUCAGAUUUGUCAUUCUCUUAUU
rnacentral:pre_miRNA from 1 species